rnacentral:rRNA from 1 species
UACGUAGGGGGCAAGCGUUGUCCGGAAUCAUUGGGCGUAAAGAGCGCGUAGGCGGCCCUGUAAGUCCGCUGUGAAAGUCAAGGGCUCAACCCUUGAAUGCCGGUGGAUACUGCAGGGCUAGAGUCCGGAAGAGGCGAGUGGAAUCCUGGUGUAGCGGUGAAAUGCGCAGAUAUCAGGAGGAACACCGGUGGCGAAGGCGGGUCUCUGGGCCGGAUACUGACCGCUGAGGAGCGAAAGCGUGGGGAGGCGAACGGAUU